rnacentral:lncRNA from 1 species
GGCAGAGGGUGGGAGGAGACGGGCUGGCCGAGGGGCAGAGAAAAGGCAGGAAGGAAGCUGAUAUAAAAAAAAAAAAAUCUAUCUUGAGAAACAAUUCCUCUCCAUCUUUAAACCUAUGAAACUCAAAAAAUAAAAUCUGCUCUUGAAAUCUAAUGAUUAGACAGGCAUAGAAUACCAGUUAUAGACAUUCUGGCUAAAAGGGGAGAAAAUUUAAAGGAAAAAAGAAGUCACUAGUUCAAAAUAUUUUCAAAAUUCAGCUGUUUAAACUUCCUUUGUAUUACAUAAAAUUAAUUAUUAUUAUAUAAAUAUUAUUUUAUUUAAUGAUGGGAUUAUAGUAUUUCUUUGUGUGUGUAAUAAAACUUGAAACAAUCUUACAACAAAUUUAAUUGCUUAAUCCUUACCUUCCUCCGAGUUAACCUGACAAGUAAACUUUGAUUGUUUUUUUCUAUAAGUAUUUUAGACAUUAAGUUGCCACAUAUUACAUGUUUAUUUUGGUUUAGCUGUGUGUUCCUGGGAUCAAUNUUUUUUUUUUUUUUUUUUUUUUUUUUAUGUCUUUUUAGGCCACACUCGCAGCACAUGGAUGUUCCCAGGAUGGGGUCGAAUCGGAGCUGUUGCUGCUGGCCUACGCUAGAGCCACAGCAAGGCCAGAUCUAGCCAUGUCACGGCAACACCUGAUCCUUAAACCUACUGAGCAUGGCCAGGGAUUGAACCCUCAAUCUCAUGGUUCUAGUUGGAUUCGUUUCCUCUGUGCCACGACAGGAACUCCAGAAUUGGAUACCUUUAAUAUCUUCAUGGAAACUUCAUUUUGGCCUUUUGUCAAGGUCCUUAGGCAUUUGUCUACCUUGAGAGUUCCAGAAGCAACAACAUUGACAUUAACCCAUAUGGGGACCUUAGUUGAGGAGGAGGUGGCAGUACAGCAGUGGGAAGAGGACAGAUCUGUUAAUUUUUGCAUCUAUAGUUCUAUUUUUGGUAGUUUACUUAGAAAGUCACCUCCUAUCUGA